rnacentral:rRNA from 1 species
CAAACUUGGUCAUUUAGAGGAAGUAAAAGUCGUAACAAGGUCUCCGUUGGUGAACCAGCGGAGGGAUCAUUACCGAGUUUACAACUCCCAAACCCAAUGUGAACGUUACCAAACUGUUGCCUCGGCGGGAUCUCUGCCCCGGGUGCGUCGCAGCCCCGGACCAAGGCGCCCGCCGGAGGACCAACCAAAACUCUUUUGUAUACCCCCUCGCGGGUUUUUAUAUCUGAGCCAUCUCGGCGCCUCUCGUAGGCGUUUCGAAAAUGAAUCAAAACUUUCGACAACGGAUCUCUUGGUUCUGGCAUCGAUGAAGAACGCAGCGAAAUGCGAUAAGUAAUGUGAAUUGCAGAAUUCAGUGAAUCAUCGAAUCUUUGAACGCACAUUGCGCCCGCCAGUAUUCUGGCGGGCAUGCCUGUCCGAGCGUCAUUUCAACCCUCGAACCCCUCCGGGGGGUCGGCGUUGGGGAUCGGCCCUUUACGGGGCCGGCCCCGAAAUACAGUGGCGGUCUCGCCGCAGCCUCUCCUGCGCAGUAGUUUGCACACUCGCAUCGGGAGCGCGGCGCGUCCAUUGCCGUUAAACACCCAACUUUCUGAAAUGUUGACCUCGGAUCAGGUAGGAAUACCCGCUGAACUUAAGCAUAUCAAUAAGCGGAGG